rnacentral:lncRNA from 1 species
CUUGGUAUAGAGCCAUAACCAACAGAACCCUUUCUCAGAACAUGCAGUUCCAGAAAUAUAAGUGAUGCUUCCCUUUGCUUAAGUAUCUGUCGGAACAGUACAAAGCCAAAUGCCAGAAAUUCAAAAAAUCUCAAACAAUGAGAGAAACUUUUCUUUUUUUAACCAACUUCACUGUAAAUUUAUCAUCCUAUUUGCUGAAGUUCCUUUGAAAAGAAUGGACAGAUUGUUAGAUUUGGUGGUUUAACCUAUUAUAUUGUUAUCCUUUCGUUUCUGUUUUUUUCUUUUGUCAAGGCUGUUGUGUUUUCCCUUUUCAAACAAACCACACCAAACCAAACCAAAACAAAAAAACCAGCAACAACAAAAAGCCACUAAAUGGAAAAUACUGGAAAGUAAUUGCAGGAGUUACAGGAUUUGGCUCUCUGAACCCUCUGUCCUUUCUUGCUAGGAUUGGCAAGGGGCCAAUCCACAGUGCCAGAGUAUGCCACAGAAGCUGUAAAAAAUCAUGGUGUGAGAAGUGGACUACACAGAAAGGGAUAAAAUCCACACCAGGGAAGCUACAAGAUGCUAGGCAAAUAAUGGGCCUGUACGCAAUAAAACUGUUUUAUAUACCACAUUGAAUGAUUUCCUCUGCCUUUGACCUUCCAUACAAUGUGGGUAGUAAAUACAACUCCUGAUGAGGUAUUGUGCCUCUGUUUACAAACAUCCAAUUCGUGAGCCAGAACAUGAAUUUAUUCCAUGCUAACACUGUACACCAACACAUUUAAAGUGGAAUGAGUGUGGCUUUGUGGUAGGUAGCUUACUCAAUAUUGUAAAUAGA